AGCUCGUAGGCGGUUUGUCGCGUCUGCCGUGAAAGUCCGGGGCUCAACUCCGGAUCUGCGGUGGGUACGGGCAGACUAGAGUGAUGUAGGGGAGACUGGAAUUCCUGGUGUAGCGGUGAAAUGCGCAGAUAUCAGGAGGAACACCGAUGGCGAAGGCAGGUCUCUGGGCAUUAACUGACGCUGAGGAGCGAAAGCAUGGGGAGCGAACAGGAUUAGAUACCCUGGUAGUCCAUGCCGUAAACGUUGGGCACUAGGUGUGGGGGACAUUCCACGUUUUCCGCGCCGUAGCUAACGCAUUAAGUGCCCCGCCUGGGGAGUACGGCCGCAAGGCUAAAACUCAAAGGAAUUGACGGGGGCCCGCACAAGCGGCGGAGCAUGCGGAUUAAUUCGAUGCAACGCGAAGAACCUUACCAAGGCUUGACAUGAACCGGACCGCUGCAGAAAUGUGGUUUCCCCUUUGGGGCUGGUUUACAGGUGGUGCAUGGUUGUCGUCAGCUCGUGUCGUGAGAUGUUGGGUUAAGUCCCGCAACGAGCGCAACCCUCGUUCUAUGUUGCCAGCACGUGAUGGUGGGGACUCAUAGGAGACUGCCGGGGUCAACUCGGAGGAAGGUGGGGA
rnacentral:rRNA from 1 species